rnacentral:rRNA from 1 species
UACGGAGGGUGCGAGCGUUGUCCGGAAUUAUUGGGCGUAAAGAGCUCGUAGGCGGUGUGUCGCGUCGGCCGUGAAAACCUGCAGCUUAACUGUGGGCUUGCGGUCGAUACGGGCAUCACUGGAGUUCGGCAGGGGAGACUGGAAUUCCUGGUGUAGCGGUGAAAUGCGCAGAUAUCUGGAGGAACACCGGUGGCGAAGGCGGCAGUCCUGGACCUUACUGACGCUGAGGAGCGAAAGCCAGGGGAGCAAAGCGGG